rnacentral:rRNA from 1 species
UNGGAAUUACUGGGCGUAAAGCGGGCGCAGACGGUUACUUAAGCAGGAUGUGAANUCCCCGGGCUCAACCUGGGAACUGCGUUNUGAACUGGGUGACUAGAGUGUGUCAGAGGGAGGUAGAAUUCCACGUGUAGCAGUGAAAUGCGUAGAGAUGUGGAGGAAUACCGAUGGCGAAGGCAGCCUCCUGGGAUAACACUGACGUUCAUGCCCGAAAGCGUGGGUAGCAAACAGGAUUAGAUACCCUGGUAGUCCACGCCNUAAACGAUGUCGAUUAGCUGUUGGGCAGCAUGACUGCUUAGUAGCGAAGCUAACGCGUGAAAUCGACCGCCUGGGGAGUACGGUCGCAAGAUUAAAACUCAAAGGAAUUGACGGGGACCCGCACAAGCGGUGGACGAUGUGGAUUAAUUCGAUGCAACGCGAAGAACCUUACCUGGUCUUGACUGUGCGGAACCCUCCAGAGACGGAGGGGUGCCUUCGGGAGCCGUAACACAGGUGCUGCAUGGCUGUCGUCAGCUCGUGUCGUGAGAUGUUGGGUUAAGUCCCGCAACGAGCGCAACCCUUGUCAUUAGUUGCCAUCAUUAAGUUGGGCACUCUAAUGAGACUGCCGGUGACAAGCCGGAGGAAGGUGGGGAUGACGUCAAGUCCUCAUGGCCCUUAUGACCAGGGCUUCACACGUCAUACAAUGGUCGGUACAGAGGGUAGCCAAGCCGCGAGGUGGAGCCAAUCUCACAAAACCGAUCGUAGUCCGGAUUGCACUCUGCAACUCGAGUGCAUGAGGUCGGAAUCGCUAGUAAUCGCAGGUCAGCAUACUGCGGUGAAUACGUUCCCGGGUCUUGUACACACCGCCC